GCAGGCGCCGUGGUGCCCUCGUGUGUGGGGGCGGUGGGUGGGCGGUUCCCUUAUCGGAACCAGAGGAUAGGAUAGGACGGCCUGCAGCAGAGAGCUAGUCACAUCGGGCACCAGAUCCUGUCCUGCAACGAAUCCCAGUGCAACGAAAUGCAAAUAAACGAUAGCAUGGCGCCCAAGUAGAACAUUCCACCAGCGCCCGACAGCAAGCCAACAAGCUCCAGCUCCAGCUCCUGUUUCUCUCUCUGAAACUAUUUCCACUUCGAAUCCGAUUGACCCGAAUCCGGUCCGACGCGAGUCCGGAAUGACGGAGCAGAAGAACCAGGUGACGCGCGCUGCGCCGGAGCAGAGCAACGACUACCGGGUGGUGGUCUUCGGAGCCGGCGGCGUGGGCAAGAGCUCGCUGGUGCUGCGCUUCAUUAAGGGCACCUUCCGCGAAAGCUACAUCCCGACCAUCGAGGACACCUACAGACAGGUCAUCAGCUGCAAUAAGAACAUCUGCACGCUGCAAAUCACGGACACCACGGGCUCGCACCAGUUUCCGGCCAUGCAGCGGUUGUCCAUCUCGAAGGGACACGCCUUCAUCCUGGUCUAUUCGGUGUGCUCCAAGCAGAGUCUGGAGGAGCUGCGACCCAUCUGGGCGCUCAUCAAGGAGCUGAAGGGGGCCGACAUACCGAACAUCCCCGUCAUGCUGGUGGGCAACAAGUGUGAUGAGACCGCCGAGUUGCGUGAGGUCUCCCAGGCCGAGGGUCAGGCGCAGGCGACCACCUGGAGCAUAUCGUUCAUGGAGACGUCGGCCAAGACGAACCACAACGUGACCGAGCUCUUCCAGGAGCUGCUCAACAUGGAGAAGACGCGCACCGUUUCCCUGCAGCUGGACACCAAGAAGCAGAAGAAACAGAAGAAGGAGAAGAAGUCCAAGGACACCAACGGCUCGAUUCCGGAGAACGGUGACGCGGGGGCCAGUGCCAGCGGUGGGGCCAAGGAGAAGUGUCUCGUUAUGUAAGCACAUCGGAUGGCGAUGGCAUGUGGCCCUGUGACCAUGUGACCCGGGUCGCAUUGCAUCGAAAGGAGCUCCAGCUGGAGUGACGGAGCAGGAGACGGUGACAGACAAAUACUCGCCUUGGGGCAGCAGCGUGUGGUGGUGGGCGGUGUUGGGUCUCAGCCACCCAACCAUCCAACCACCCAUCCAACCACACGGGCCACGCACCACACACACCCCAGACAACCCACACAACCCAGACAACCCACACAACCACUUACCCACAUGUAGAGUUACAUCCAUAACUUGACACUUGUAUUUAGGAACUGAUGUAAGUCACAAACACGAUUGCAAUUUCGAUUACGAGUAUAUUUUGCAUAGGUUCUAUUCGAGCAGAUCAGAUCUUUCUAGUCGCACAGAGUACACGAUACCAGAUACGAUACGAUACUAAACUAAACACAACAUCAGCAUGGAAGCUAACCCUAAGUUGAGACACACAUAAUCGCAUCUGAAACGUAACGGCAUACAUAUCAAAUGUUUACAUACAUACUUGCAUGAUCCACCACCCAUUCAUAACCAGGUAUAAAACGAAGCUAUACACUAUAUCUCUAACGAAAGCCAAAGUACCUAUUUAAAGACAUAGAAUCUGUAAUGUGUAUCUAUUACGAUAUGAUAACAAUAUUUACAUGGAUCCAUCAACGGAAGACUUCUUGACUCCAUGGUCGCCACAGAGACCAUUGCGGGGCAUCUGGGCAUGAGCACAAUAAGGAUGCCUCCCCUGACUAUCAUUGCUGUUUAACUAUUUACCACCUAACCAGAAUAAUACAGAUUUGGACGAGCCCCGUUCGCCACAUAAGCUAAUGUAUAAAAUACUCAUGGCCAACAACACACACACACAGAGAUCCGGAUCCGGAAACCUAAAACAAACUCGCGAUGGCAUUGUGUUUUUGUAUUAUAUUAAAUGUUAGCAGCAAUACCGAAAAGAAAAGAUAAGGUCAGAUCACAGGAUCACAGAGUUAACCUAAGAAAGAAUCAAUUUCAAGAUCAAGUACAAUUGCAUUCAUCAAGUGAGCCAAGGAACACGUACAUCGAAGGAUAUUUGAAGAGCAUUUUUGCAGUAGCGUAGAUGGGAUAUAAGUUGCCUGUUUUUAAAACACUUAUGUAUCGUACGUACUUAUAGCUUAACUUAAACCAAACCGUUCCCAAUUGUGGUAUUCGUUAUUUUAAUAGUUGGUUGGCUUGUGCAUAGGCGUAGGAGUUGAACAAAUUGUUUCGCAUAGUUUGCUGUUGUUUGAUAUUAAGAGGAUUAGUUUUUUAAAUUUUACCAAUCAGACUAAGUGAAUGAUAUGCUUUAAUCGCUGCUAAACCAAUUAGCCAACAAAGGGGCAAGUAAUUACAUUAAUUAUGAUGUUGCUCAUCCAACUGGUACUGGUAUCUUUGGCUGCUGGUCCGCCGUCCAGCAGUGCCGGACAAAUAAGUAGAACAACCAACACAAAUCAAGAAGUGGAAAUUACACACUAGAUCUAAAAUAAAUUGUUGAAUUCGAGUAGAGAAAUUAUUAAUCAAGAUUAUGAUAGCGGACCAAUUUGCGUAUAAGAUUUGUGAAAUCAAUUUAGAUAAAUUAUCUCGGUUUGCCAUAGACAUGAACGAUUUCAAAUAAGUAUGCCAGCCUUAGUUGAGAUUUAUAGGUAGCCUGCCUGUGCUUUGGGUUCUGCUUCGUGUUUUCCUAGUUUUAGGUACGUUUAAUUGUAGACAGACAGCAAACUGGGUUUUGGCUAUUCAGUAUGUGCCGUAUAUUGGAGUACAUUCUCCAUACAGUACAUUUCACAAAAUGCGUAAAAUUACUUAGUUGCAUAACAAUUAUAAUAACGAUGAAUUGUAAUUAAAGCAUAAUACAUUUUAGGUGCA